CUUAGACAAGGGGGAAUAUGACCAGAUAGAUUAUUAUGUGAAAGGUCAAUCAAGCUUAAUCGGGUCAAAUUGCACAACUGAAUUGGAAUUUCCCCUUUCAUAUUAUUAUGACCCAAAAUCAUAUAGUCCAAUUGAUAAAAUCUUUCAAACCAUGAUGGAAUGCUUCCAGUCAUAUUAUUGUGGCUAAGAUCUAACACAACAAAUGGAAGGCAAUCGAAAAAUGUAUCUUCCAAUGAUCCUUGAAGCUGAUUUCUGGAUAAAUGAACUUUUAUCAUAUGUGAACAGCUAAAAUCAGAGGGUAGGCUUCCAGAAAUAUCAUUAUUGGAUAAGUCUAAAAUUCACAAUAAGCUCAUAUUUCCAAAUAUCAUUAUUUGUAUGAAUGGAUUUAUUAUUAUAUUAAAAAUUAUUUUAAAGUAUAACUAAACUUACUUUAAUGAUUAUUUAUAAAAUUAUUAAUUACAGUAAAAUAUUAUUAUUAAUUUACUUGUAUUAUCGAUUAAGUCCCAAUUCAACAUUUGGUAUGUAUAUGUGUGUUUUUAAAUUUGAAAAAAACUUCUAUCUUAAUUCUAAAUGAAUGUUAAGUCCUUGAAUCUCUAUUUUUAUUAAUUUAGUAUCAAGCCAAGUUAAAACAAAAACCUUAAUAAAAAUUAAAUACUUCAUAUUGAUAUUCUCGGAUAAAAGAAAAUUAUAAUGAAAUUUAAUCUUAUUUUUCAUAAUUCUUUUAUUUUAAAUUUUAUUUUCCUAAGUAAAUAUUAUUUUGAAAAAUAAUAUUAUAUUAUUAAAAAUAACAAACGGUAAACAAAAUGUUAAGUUGUGUGCAUAUUUUAAAUGUGUAAUGAUUUUACAUUUACUUAAAUUAUAAAUUGAAGCAUAAUAAUGAAACAAACACUUAAGUUGAUAUUGACGGUAGGCAAAAUUUAGCUAUUUUUAUAUCAUAAACACGUAGAAAAUUUUCUAUUUAUUGAAAUUUAUCUUCUAUUGAUGCAUGUAAAUAAAGUUGUUAUUAUUAUGAAAUUUUAUUAUAAAAUAUUAUUAUUUUAAUUGUAUUUAAAUAUUUCAAAAUAAUUUUUUAAAAUUUAAUUACUUAUAAAAAUAUCAAACUACUAAUUAUGAUAAUAUAUUAUUAUGAUUUUUAAUUUUAUAAUAUAUAAAUUAAUAUUUAUGUAAUAGUAUAUACUUGUUAAGCCUGACUUUGAUCUAUUUUUCAUUGAUUUAAUGUUCAAGCCGAGUUAUAACCCUUGGUAAAAUGUAAAUACUUUAUAUCAAUAUUCACAUGACAAACAAAAAAUAAAAGACAAUUGCGAUGAAAUUUAAUUUUAUUUUUCAUAAUUCUUUACUUUUAAAUUUAAUUUUCUUAUAUAUAUAUAUAUUAUUUUAAAAAAUUAUAUUCUAUAUAUUAUUAAAAAUAAUAAACAGAAAAAGAAAAGUUUAGCACUGCAUUUAAUUCCAAUUCUUAAAUUUUUAUGUAAUUCAAUUGAAUUUUAUAUUUUGUGUAUUUAGUUUGAAUAAAAAUUAAAAUUUAAUUCUAUGGAAUUGGUUCCAAUUAAAAUCAAUUCCUAUUAAAUUUGAUGGAAUUUGAAAUAAUUUCACAAAAUUUACAUAAUAAUAUAUUUUUAAUGAGUUUAUAUUUUUGUUAAUUGUUACAAAUUUAUUAAAUAUAAAAUUUGUUGAUAGAGUAUUUUUUUAAUUUUAUAAUAUUUAAGUUAAUUUUCUCUUAUUAAUAACACUAUUUAUUUUAUUAUGUAAACACCAAGUCAUGAAAAUUUAUUAAUAUAUUUUUAAUGAGUUUAUAUUUUUGUUAAUUGUUACAAAUUUAUUAAAUAUAAAAUUUGUUGAUAGAGUAUAAUUUUUUAAUUUUACUCUUAAGAGUAAUUUAGAAAAUAAAAAAAUAAGUCAUAUAAAAUUUAAUUGAAUUUGGUAUUUUAAAUUGUGUCAUAAUUCAUUUCAAAUGAAUUUUAUUUAAAAUUUAAUGAAAUUCCACAAGACAAUUGAACCGAACACUAUAUAGGUAAUCAACAUACCUCUUGAGUCUACAAAUUCUGUAAUGUUAUUGCCACUCAAUACCAACGUCUCUAAGUUGUUUACGCCCAAUUCUAAUUUAAUAAGAAAGUCUUUUACGAUGAAAUUGUGAAAAAAUAAAAAGGAAGGGAAUAGAAAAAUAAAAAAUAAUAGCUAACCUUUGAAAUUAAAUAGUUCUUCCAAUUGAUUAUAUUCUAAAUCUAAAUAUUUGAGAUAUGGAAGUCUAGCGAGUGGUGAUAAGACUGAUAUUAACAUGAUUAUAACUCAAACAAAGUUACUCUAAACUGUUCAGUUUCAGUAAUUCCUCGCUACCUGUACAAGUUAUUAUUUACUUAUAACUAAUUUAAGAAAAAAAUAAUGAAAGAAGUAAAAGAUAAAUUCUUAAAACAAGAUAUGAAGCCUUCAUUUGCAUUAAAUUAAAAAUUCAACUUUUUCAAACUUAUUAGAUGAUUGAACUCUGUUGAAUAAUAUAGAAAGACAUUUUUGUAUGAGAUAAUGAUGAUGACAGCAAUGAAUAAGGAGGGUAGAAAAUCAAGCUCUGUUACCUUCAAUUUUAAUUAUCCCUUUCAAUCUAUUUUCAUAUAGACUUAAAAUUUUUAAAGAUGAAAGACCACUUAGAGAUGAUAAGAUGCUUUUGUGGAAACUGUUGUCACCUAAAUCAAGAACCUCCAAAUUGCCAAGUGCUGAUAACCUUGAUGUAACAAAUUUAUUAGAUAAAUAAAGGGAAAAAAAAAGGCUAAUUAAGUGAAUUUCAAUUGAAUUCCAAACCUUCAUUCUUGAUGCAACCAGCUAUAUUAUUUAUCCCAAGGGUAAGAUAAUUCAAUUGCUGGAGUUGCAUUAUACGCCUACCCACCUAUAAAAAAAGAAGAAGAAGAAUUGAAAUGAGAUUUGAUUUGCAACAGAGCAAUUCUCUCAUUCUCCAAACAUCCAUCAGAGCACCAACUCUCUUUUAAUAAUGAAAUCAUCAUCACCAUUAUCCAACACUCCUUCAUUAUGAUCUCUUGCUUCCCAAUACAUAAAUGCUUUCACCUUUUAUAGGCAGAUCCCAGCCCAAUGAGAACCAUUCCUAGAAGUGUUGGAUAAUUACAAGUCAUGAAUUAAUUUUGGAUCAAUUAUUACUAUCAUUUUCUCUUAGUCAAUUAUGCAAAUUGCAAGACUUCUCUAUGCGAAGAGAUUCCAUCCUAUUAAAAGGGACUAUUAAUUAUUUUAUUUUAUAAAAAUAAUCAAAUUUGAAUAAAAUUGAGAAUUCAAUAAUUUUAUAUGAUUGAUCUCAAAAUAUUAAUCCAGUCAUCUCCAAAUAUAUAAUUAAAUUUUAAUAUAUUUAUUAGGAAUGACCUUAAUUUACAAAUUAAAAUAUUAUAACUAGCUUAUUAUUUUAUUUAUUUUAAUAUGUUAAAUUUAAUUUAAAUUAAAAUACUGAUAGUAAUUAUAGUCACCGUUGAGAUAUUUUGAUUUUUAAGUUUAUGGUUAAUGUACAUUAAAAUAUUUUAUUUUAUAAAUAAAAUUAAAACCAUUUUUUACUUUAGUUAAAUCAUUUAGCUAAGUCAUGAAUUAAUUUUGAAUCAAUUACUACUAUCAUUUUCUUUGAGUCAAUUAUGCAAGUUGUAAGACUUCUCUAUGCGACGAGAUUCCAUCCUACUAAAAGGGACUAUUAAUUAUUUUAUUUUAUAUAAAAUUUAAAAAUAACCAAAUUUGAAUAAAAUUGAGAAUUCAAUUAGGAGUUAAUUCAAUAAUUUUCUAAAUAUAAGUUAUUUUCUGUAAAUAAAUAAAAUUUUAAUUUAUUUUUUUUUUAAAUUAAAACUCUUUAAAUAACUUACUCACCUAACCCUAUUUCAUAAAGAGCUAUUUAAAUCCUAUUUCAUAUAAAAGCUGUUUAAACUAAGUUUUAAUACAUUUUACAAAUUCUGAACUGUGAAAUAUAAAAAGAAUUAAGAUAUUUUUUUAAUAUUACAUGUUACUGAAGAAAUAUGCAGGGAUUUUAUUAAGAAAGUUUUUGCAAGCUCAAUUUGGAGGCAAAUAUAGUAAAGGAAAUGCACAUUUUACAUUAUUUAUUGAUGUUGAAAGUAAAAGUAUAUAAAUACAUAAUUCUUGAUAUUGAUUUCACCAUCAAAAUAAUUUAAACUUGGACAAACAACCAAGAUUGUCUAUUAGAAAAUAGUAGCACUUGUCUAUACUAACCUCAACGAAGUAAAACCAAACUUGCCUCCAAUAUGGAUUUAUGAAUAAAACUCCAGCAAUUGUCAACAACACCAUAACGUAAGCCACCCCAAAACUCACAUAAAAACCUUCCAUGUCAAUGAAGCAAUUACUUUCUUCAGUAUCAUUUGAAUUUCUUGAGAUUGAUGGAGAAGAUUCCAUUGUAGCACAAUCUUUUUGCAAUGGCCAUCCACAAAGAAGAGGGUUAUCUCGAUAGCUGCUUUCAUCAAAUGUUGCAAACUGUUUAACCUUUUCCGGUGUUUUACCAGAUAAAUCAUUGCAUGAUACAUUGAAGACUUCCAAAAAAUCCAACUCAGUGAGUUGAGAAGGAAUGUUCCCUUGCAAGUUGUUGUGUGAAAGAUCCAAGCUUUCAAUUUGACUCAAGUUAGAAAAUGAUGCUGGGAUUUUUCCAUUCAAAUUGUUGUGGGAUAAAUUUGGUACAUGGAUCUCAUUGAGGUAACCAAUUUGGAUAGGAAUUUGGCCUAUCAGCUUGUUGCAUGAGAGAUCAAUUCCUGAGAAGUAAUCCAGCAUGCUUGUUUGGUAAGAAUAGAUAUUUCUCUUCGUUGUGAAUUCUAUCUCUUCACCACUAGACAAAGACAAGGAAGCAAAAUUGCUUGUAGAUCUUAGACAAGGGGGAAUAUGACCAGACAGAUUAUUAUGUGAAAGGUCAAUCAAGCUUAAUUGGGUCAAAUUGCACAACUGAAUUGGGAUUUCCCCUUCAAUAUUAUUAUGACCCAAAAUCAUAUAGCCCAAUUGAUAAAAUCUUUCAAACCAUGAUGGAAUGCUUCCAGUCAUAUUAUUGUGGCUAAGAUCUAACACAACCAAUCGAAGGCAAUCGAAAAAUGCAUCUUCUAAUGAUCCUUGAAGCUGAUUUCUAGACAAAUGAACUCCUAUCAUAUUUGAACAGCUAAAAUCAGAGGGUAGACUUCCAGAAAUAUCAUUGUUGGAUAAGUCUAAAAUUUUCAAUAGGCUCAUAUUUCGAAAUGAAGAAGGAAUGCUACCAUUGAAAUCAUU
rnacentral:lncRNA from 1 species